UACAAAGGGUGCGAGCGUUGUUCGGAAUUAUUGGGCGUAAAGGGCGCGUAGGCGGUGCGGUAAGUCACCUGUGAAAUCUCCUGGCUCAACUGGGAGCUUGCAGGCGAAACUGCCGUGCUGGAGUGUGGGAGAGGUGCGUGGAAUUCCUGGUGUAGCGGUGAAAUGCGUAGAUAUCAGGAGGAACACCUGUGGCGAAAGCGGCGCACUGGACCACAACUGACGCUGAGGCGCGAAAGCUAGGGGAGCAAACAGG
rnacentral:rRNA from 1 species